UACGGAGGGUGCAAGCGUUGCUCGGAAUUAUUGGGCGUAAAGGGUAGGUAGGUGGUCUUAUUUGUCUGGGGUGAAAGCCUUGAGCUUAACUCAAGAAGUGCCCCAGAAACGGUAAGACUAGAGUCCGGAAGAGGAGUGUGGAAUUCCCGGUGUAGCGGUGAAAUGCGCAGAUAUCGGGAAGAACACCCGUGGCGAAGGCGGCACUCUGGGACGGUACUGACGCUGAGACGCGAAAGCGUGGGGAGCGAACAGG
rnacentral:rRNA from 1 species